GACGUAGGAGGCGAGCGUUGUCCGGAUUCAUUGGGCGUAAAGAGCGCGCAGGCGGCUUGGUAAGUCGGAUGUGAAAACCCGAGGCUCAACCUCGGGCGUGCAUCCGAAACUGCUCGGCUAGAGGUAGGUAGGGGAGAUCGGAAUUCCUGGUGUAGCGGUGAAAUGCGCAGAUAUCAGGAGGAACACCGGUGGCGAAGGCGGAUCUCUGGGCCUUACCUGACGCUCAGGCGCGAAAGCUAGGGGAGCGAACAGG
rnacentral:rRNA from 1 species